rnacentral:rRNA from 1 species
UUGGAGGGCAAGUCUGGUGCCAGCAGCCGCGGUAAUUCCAGCUCCAAUAGCGUAUAUUAAAGUUGUUGCAGUUAAAAAGCUCGUAGUUGAACCUCGGGGUCUACCCAUUGGUCAGGCUUAAUUGUCUGCACUGGUGAGAUGGAUCUCUACCUUCUGAGGAACUUUCAUGCCAUUUAUUUGGUGUGAUGGGAAAUCAGGACUGUUACUUUGAAAAAAUUAGAGUGUUUAAAGCAGACUAUCGUCUGAAUACAUUAGCAUGGAAUAAUGAAAUAGGACGGACUGAUUCUAUUUCGUUGGUUUCUAGGAUCACCGUAAUGAUUAAUAGGGAUAGUUGGGGGCAUUAGUAUUCAAUUGUCAGAGGUGAAAUUCUUGGAUUUAUUGAGGACUAACUACUGCGAAAGCAUUUGCCAAGGAUGUUUUCAUUAAUCAAGAACGAAAGUUAGGGGAUCGAAGACGAUCAGAUACCGUCGUAGUCUUAACCAUAAACUAUGCCGACUAGGGAUCGGACGAAGUUAAUUUUAUAAUGACGCGUUCGGCGCCUUACGGGAAAC